GCCUGGGUGGCUCAGUCGGUUGAGUGUGUGACUUCGGCUCAGGUCAUGAUCUCACCGUCCGUGGGUUCGAGCCCCACGUCGGGCU
rfam:Felis catus isolate Cinnamon breed Abyssinian chromosome X, whole genome shotgun sequence.